CAAAAACAGCGAUUUAUACAUUCCUUCCACGCUGCAUGAAAAAAUUUGAGAGGCCCUCUGCGCCUUCUUGUGCUGUCUGGCCGAUUCUUAAGGACAACAAAGCUCGUUCUUGAGGCGAGUGGUGGCUGACAGCCAGGAGAAUUCUAGACGGCCUGUUACGGACCUUUGUUUCUCAUUCACAUCGGCACGCUUAUCUGGAUCAACAUGUGCACUAGCGUGUUGCUAGGACUUUUAAGCAGUUUCCGGGGGCGCUUCUUGUGUUGAAGAUCGAAGAGUUGUGUAUAGUGCGGUUGCGAUCUUGCUCGCGUUUCUACGAACAUGCUGUAGCUAUGGCCGAGACACCACUGAGAAUUGCUUCAACAUACCUGGGCAACAUGUCUACAUUGAACAAUUCCACUGCCGAAUAUGGGCCGCAGCGGUAAAGAACCACCAGUGCCUCGUUGUGUCGCCAGUACGAUGGGGAAACAAGCUUUCGUUGAUCGGUAAGAGUCCUAGCUGUCGACCUAAACACUCGCGUUUUUUGAUUCCUGUGAUAUAGUGCGUGAACGUGUUUAACCAGUCUACUGAGAUACAACGUCAUCUCUGAACUUCGCACUGCAACCCAUGGUGUCUGUGUGUGAAGCAACUCGGAUAAACAAUCGACAGGGGAA
rnacentral:lncRNA from 1 species